AGAGUUUGAUCAUGGCUCAGAAUCAACGCUGGCGGCGCGCUUAACACAUGCAAGUCGCACGAGAAAGGGAGCAAUCCUAAGUAAAGUGGCGCACGGGUGAGUAACACGUGGAUCAUCUACCUUUUAGCGGGGAAUACCUCUGGGAAACCGGAGACAAUACCGCAUAAGCCUGUAAAGGGAAAGCAGCAAUGCGCUGAAAGAGGAGUCCGCGGCCGAUUAGCUAGUUGGCGGGGUAAUGGCCCACCAAGGCGAAGAUCGGUAGCCGGCCUGAGAGGGCACACGGCCACACUGGCACUGAAACACGGGCCAGACUCCUACGGGAGGCAGCAGUGGGGAAUCUUGCACAAUGGACGAAAGUCUGAUGCAGCGACGCCGCGUGAGCGAUGAAGCCCUUCGGGGUGUAAAGCUCUUUCGACGGGAACGAUAAUGACGGUACCCGGAGAAGAAGCUGCGGCUAACUACGUGCCAGCAGCCGCGGUAAUACGUAGGCAGCGAGCGUUGUUCGGAAUUACUGGGCGUAAAGAGUGUGUAGGCGGUGUUCCCAGUCUGUUGUGAAAUCUCCCGGCUUAACUGGGAGGGUGCAGCGGAAACUAGAAUGCUAGAGGGUGGGAGAGGUAAGCGGAAUUCCUGGUGUAGCGGUGAAAUGCGUAGAUAUCAGGAGGAACACCUGGUGUAGACAGCUUACUGGACCACUUCUGACGCUGAGACACGGAAGCGUGGGUAGCAAACAGGAUUAGAUACCCUAGUAGUCC
rnacentral:rRNA from 1 species